rnacentral:rRNA from 1 species
AGGCGUAAAGCGUCUUUAGGCGGUUUUUUGUCAGUUAGUAACUAAAAUUCAGAACGUAAUUCUGGAAUGUUUACUAAGACGGUUUUUCUAGAGUUUAAUCGGGGUCAGUAGUAUCUCUUCAAGAGGGUUAAAAUUCAUAGAAAGAAGAGAGAGGGCCACGGGUGCAGGCAACUAACUAUAUUAAACUGACGCCAAAGGACUAAAGCGUAGGGAGCGAUCGGGAUUAGAAACCCCGGUAGUCUACGCCUUGACUGAUGAAAGUGAAACGUCAGAUAACUCUGCAUAUUAAAGCUAACGCGUUGAACUUUCCGCCUGAGGAGUACGACCGCAAGGUUGAAACUCAAAGGAAUUGACGGGGGUCUUUUAAAAACGGUGGAACAUGUGGUUUAAUCUGAUAAUCCGCGUAAAACCUUACCAGUUUUUACCAGGUGUUGCAUGGCUGUCGUCAGCCCGCGUCGUGAGGCGUGUCUCGAAAGAGCGUAACGGGCAGAACCCUUACUUGUAGUUGCAAGGAUUGUUUCGAAAGGGACAGA